rnacentral:rRNA from 1 species
CUAGCGACAGGCUUAACACAUGCAAGUCGAGGGGCAGCGGGGUAGUGCUUGCACUACUGCCGGCGACCGGCGCACGGGUGAGUAACACGUAUGGAACCUGCCCGCAGCAGGGGGAUAAGCGGAAGAAAUUCCGUCUAAUACCGCGUAACAACGUUGGGAGGCAUCUCCCGAUGUUUAAAGAUUUAUCGGCUGCGGAUGGCCAUGCGGCGCAUUAGCUAGUCGGCGGGGUAACGGCCCACCGAGGCGACGAUGCGUAGGGGUUCUGAGAGGAAGGUCCCCCACACUGGUACUGAGACACGGACCAGACUCCUACGGGAGGCAGCAGUGAGGAAUAUUGGUCAAUGGCCGAGAGGCUGAACCAGCCAAGUCGCGUGAGGGAAGACGGCCCUACGGGUUGUAAACCUCUUUUGUCGGGGAGCAAAGCGAACCACGUGUGGUUCAUUGAGAGUACCCGAAGAAAAAGCAUCGGCUAACUCCGUGCCAGCAGCCGCGGUAAUACGGAGGAUGCGAGCGUUAUCCGGAUUUAUUGGGUUUAAAGGGUGCGCAGGCGGAGGUGCAAGUCAGCGGUCAAAUUGCGGGGCUCAACCCCGUACUGCCGUUGAAACUGCAUCCCUUGAGUGCGCGAGAAGUAUGCGGAAUGCGUGGUGUAGCGGUGAAAUGCAUAGAUAUCACGCAGAACUCCGAUUGCGAAGGCAGCAUACCGGCGCGCAACUGACGCUCAUGCACGAAAGCGUGGGUAUCGAACAGGAUUAGAUACCCUGGUAGUCCACGCAGUAAACGA